GCUUCCCUAACAUGUCAAACAGUAGUUAACUAUUGGGCCGAGAUCAGCGAGAUGGUAUGGGCCGAGUUGGUCAGUGGGCCGAGUUGACACUCGAGAACAUUUUCUCCUUAUCAUAUUACGUUACGCUGCACCAGAAUCGCGCAGGAGUUCGAUUCCUACCAGAGAGCCAAUUAUAUAUUUGAACAUAAUUUUCGCUAGGAAUAGACCUUUCCCCUUAUAACCAAAAUUUUGAUCUAGGCAAGUCUAGACAAAUAUUUCAUCACAGCUUGAAAGAGCAUCACAAAAUUAGUAAUAUUCCAAAGUUUCGUUGCGAAAUGUUGUAAAAUGAGGAAAAUAGAGCCUUGCGAAGUUUGCAAUUUUCAGUCAUUUUGCAUUACAAACGGGAAAUUGCAAUCCCAACACCCGAAUCGUAUGUCAAUUUCCCGUUUGUAAUACAAAAUGACUGAAAAACGGCAAACUUCGCAAGGCUACAUUAUCCGCAUUUUACAAGAUUUCGCAACAAAACUUUGGAAUAUUACUAAUUUUGUGAUGCUCUUUCAAGCUGUGAUGAAAUUUUUGUCUAGAUCGAAAUUUUAGUUAUAAGAGGAAAGGUCCAUUUCCAGCUUUAAAAACCGUUCAGCAUUUUGUUUCGAGAAUUACCACAUUGAAUGUUUUCUGUGUUGGUAUUAUGUACUCAGGUGAAUAGUUACUCUGUACCGUGGUGUUUGUGAUGUUACUCUGUACCGUGGCCAGGCAUAUUUUCAAGCUCGCCCGGUG